CACCGAGCAGAGCCGAACCAUUCCACGUAAAUAAGGGGAGGAAACAACAAUAUACUCACUUGAAGAAUCCACCAUGCAGCAGCAGCAGCAGGGGUGAAAUAAUCAAAGCAGGUACUAACAGCAGAAUUACAACUCCACAUGAUUAACCCACCGUGAAAAUAUAAAGGGACAUUUGUGAAGACAGUGUGGAUCCUGAAAAGUCAACGAAUGCUCGUCCAAUGGGAUGGACUGAUGGGAAGUCUCCCAUGGACCAACCGGCCCCUCCGCCCUACAACCCGUACCCGGAAUACAGUCAGCCCGUUCCAGGAUACCAACCACCGCCGCAGGACUUUGGACAACCCCCACAGUAUGGAACUGCAGGUUAUGGACAGCAGCCUUACCCCAUGGGUCAGCCUUACCCCACGGGUCAGCCUUACCUCGCGGGUCAGAUGUACCCACCGCAGCCGAACACGGUCACUGUGCAGCCCACGGUGUUCGUCGCUCAGCCUCUGGCCAACCCGGUCAAGGACUACUUGGGCUUUUCCAUCUUCACCAUGAUGUGCUGCUGCCUGCCUCUUGGAAUUGCCGCCCUCAUCUACUCCAUCUCAGCAAGAGAAGCCAAUCAUGUCGGCAAUCGGAUGUUGGCCGAGCAGAGCAGCAGGACAGCCAGGACGCUAAACCAUGUGGGUCUGGGAAUCGGUAUUGGUGCCUUCAUCCUCAUGGUUGUAUAUGCAGCAGUUAUGGCAUCUAUGUUUUAAAAAAUAUCUGUCUCCAUGUACGCCACAAAGUGUAUUUGUAUAGAGAAUUUGCUCUGCGUAUAAGGCAGUAGAUGGCCUUUUGUUGUAGCUGCACAGAGGCCACAACAACGUUCAAAGUCCAACCUUUUCUGCUUUUUGCUUUAAAAUGUUACAGCACACAAUCAGUUUCUGAACACUUUUCAGUAUGUUAGAGUACAUUUGAGUGGAGUUUAUCAAAAAAGUCAUGAUUUGUCUAAAUGAACAAAAAAGUAAAAUUUGUUGUUCUUCUGAGCUCUGUAUUGGCAGAUAUAAUGCAGUAUCACUGUGUGUUUAUCCUGUAUUAGGAGCUGUGGUGUGGAUCACUGGCCUGUGUGUUGUGUUUAAUGCAUUCUUUUUUUCUGAAAUCUUUUCACUGUAUUUGAAAUUGCUUUAUAAAUAAAGUCUAUUAAAAGAAAAGAACA
rnacentral:lncRNA from 1 species